UGCAUUUUACUCUUUAGGGUGCUCGUUUUCUUUGGGAGAAGCAGGUGUCGGUGUUACCCACCCAGGCGCGCACGGCGAUGCCGCUCCCAGCCCUCGCUGGAGAUGCCGGCCGCGCUUGAAGGCGAUGCUGUUCGCCGGGACUCCGAGACGGUAACGCCGAGGCGGGGAGCAGCUCCACAGCUCGCUGCCCUCCCCGGAGCCACCGCCUGAGCAGCGCUGUGCCCCAGCCGGCCUCCCGCAGCCCCGCUGCCUCUCCUGGGGAGCAGCGCGCCCGCUCCGGGGCUCCUCGGGGACCCGCCGGCUCCCUGCCGGCUCCCUGCCGCCUUCCCUGCCGGUUCCCUGCCGCCUUCCCUGCCGGUUCCCUGCCGGCUCCCUGCCGGCUCCCUGCGCCAUCCCCGGGGCGGCCCGAGGUCCCGCACACGUGCCCGCUUGCCAAGUGCCAAGAUCACAGUCAGAAGGGAGUCACCCAUGAAGAUUUGCUCAUGCAGCUAAGCUAACUUCCACGGAUAAAGUUCAAAAAGAAAAGGGAAUGAAUACUGUGUACCCAGACAACAAUAAACCUUCAGCUGCAGACCACUGACAGAAAUCUAUAGACCACCAGUGUGGGAAACCUCAGCUUUAAGCUCUAAAUGAUUCAACAUUUGUUCCCUCUGAUGACACCGCGAAUCUGGGAAUGAAGAACUUCUUAGAGCUGAUUGGAAAUGGCAUUGCGGAGCUGAAACUUAACUGGAGGAAAUAUAUCUCCUGAAGAAGAAAAUAUAAUGCACUGUAAGGAUCUGUCUUCUGGUGAAAAAUUCAAGCCUAGAGAAAACUUGUCCGCUUUGUUAGGAAGAAUGGGUUGGACAAUUUUCUUCAAUUCCAAAGGAUAUCUGAAUGCCAUGCUGAGCUUAAUCUCUGCAGCAUGCUCUGUGCUUCUCAUCUCUUCCUGAUGCACUGCAUGGUUAUUCUGAAGGGGAGGAUAAAGAAACUGGCCACCAAGAUGGUAAUCACUAGUGGAAAUGAAGAAGAUAAAGGCAGUCAAGAAAAGGAAAGCAAAGAAGAAACCAUCUUGGCAAUGCUUGGAAUUAUUGGGACAAUUCUGAACCUCAUUGUGAUCAUUUUUGUGUAUAUUUAUACAACGUUGUAAACUAGAAGGCAUGCAAAUAGACCAGAUAAAACGGCCAUUAAGAGUGACAACAAACAUUGCUGACUAUUGACAAGUUCUUUAAUCAGAAUUGACUCUGUAUUAUAUUAACACAUCAUAAAAGCACUGCCUGAAGGCAGCGAAGACUGAAGCACAAUUAAUUUAACAAGACUUUUUCACACAGUAAUAAGCUUAACUCUUCUGUCCUGCCCUCUCCCUUUUGGUUGGGUUUUCAGUUUGGGGGAGAAUGACUGCAGUUAUAUAAGUUGUAUCUUUGAAGAAACCCACCAGGGAUAUGUUGUUUUAAAACAAUAAAAAAAAAGGAAAAGAAAAUAAAAGAAAGGAACAAAAAAAAAAAAAAAAGGAAAAGAAAGAAACUGCAAACUAUAUAUAAUUAGAAAUGUAUGCUGUAUACCCGCAAAGAUUGAACUCAAAGAUAGCUUCAUAGCACAGAUCACGUGUCUGUUAGGUCAAAUGGUUUUUUCUCUUGGCUUUUGCUUUUACUUACAUUGAAUCUGACAAGCUUUUUAUUUAGAAUGAACAUAUGGUGCAAUCAUGAAAAAAACAAUUCUGUUGAGCAAGGUCUGCCUAAACCUGAUAAAAUGUUGGGAAAAAUACAUGACAUGGUUAUUUUUCCUUUCUCAUUUGCUUAACAUCUGUGUCUGUUCAUACCAAUGUUUAUAAAUAUAUAUUUUUAAUAAAUGUGCUAUAUUUUUAGCAUGAACCAAA